GUUUGUUUGACUUUCACUGCACUGGAGCAUGGAAUUAAUUCAAAGACAUCAGGAUGCAUAACAGCUGUGAAAUCCAAAGGAUGAAAACUUUGAUUUUGAAGCAUGCACAACUUCGCCUAAUUGCCUCUAAUCCUCAUCAGGAGUAGUUAGCAUUGUAGAAACAAGGAGAUCUUUCCAUCUCUUUGAGCUUCCAUCUGAGAUCUCCCCAGUCAUUUGAGGAGCCUGGCAGAGCCUUCUGCUAUUCACUGUGCAUUUCUCUGCCUGAAGUGGUCUGAGGGAUUCAAUGCCUUGAGCCCUCCGGACUGGUGGCCAGGACCCAGGCAGUGUGAGUGCCACUGAAAAUCAGCUUGUGUGCCACCUUCAGCACACGUGCCAUAGGUUGCCUACCCGUGCCUGAGAAAGAUGGUGUGAUGGCGUGCGACCCCAGGAAGGGGUGUCAGUCUUCAGAGAAUUCCCAGAAUGACCAUGGGGAAGGUGCCAGACAAGUGGUGAGUGGAGCACCCUGUGACAGAGACCAAUCACAGAGGCUGAAAAGUGAAUUCCAACUAUCAGGUAUUCAAAUGAACACUCAUGAUAAACAGUUGAUGAUCAUCUGUC